AGAGUUUGAUCCUGGCUCAGGACGAACGCUGGCGGCGUGCCUAAUACAUGCAAGUAGAACGCUGAAGAGAGGAGCUUGCUCUUCUUGGAUGAGUUGCGAACGGGUGAGUAACGCGUAGGUAACCUGCCUUGUAGCGGGGGAUAACUAUUGGAAACGAUAGCUAAUACCGCAUAACAAUGGAUGACACAUGUCAUUUAUUUGAAAGGGGCAAUUGCUCCACUACAAGAUGGACCUGCGUUGUAUUAGCUAGUAGGUGAGGUAAUGGCUCACCUAGGCGACGAUACAUAGCCGACCUGAGAGGGUGAUCGGCCACACUGGGACUGAGACACGGCCCAGACUCCUACGGGAGGCAGCAGUAGGGAAUCUUCGGCAAUGGGGGCAACCCUGACCGAGCAACGCCGCGUGAGUGAAGAAGGUUUUCGGAUCGUAAAGCUCUGUUGUAAGUCAAGAACGGGUGUGAGAGUGGAAAGUUCACACUGUGACGGUAGCUUACCAGAAAGGGACGGCUAACUACGUGCCAGCAGCCGCGGUAAUACGUAGGUCCCGAGCGUUGUCCGGAUUUAUUGGGCGUAAAGCGAGCGCAGGCGGUUUGAUAAGUCUGAAGUUAAAGGCUGUGGCUCAACCAUAGUUCGCUUUGGAAACUGUCAAACUUGAGUGCAGAAGGGGAGAGUGGAAUUCCAUGUGUAGCGGUGAAAUGCGUAGAUAUAUGGAGGAACACCGGUGGCGAAAGCGGCUCUCUGGUCUGUAACUGACGCUGAGGCUCGAAAGCGUGGGGAGCGAACAGGAUUAGAUACCCUGGUAGUCCACGCCGUAAACGAUGAGUGCUAGGUGUUGGCCAGAGAUGGUCGGUGCCGCAGCAAACGCAAUAAGCACUCCACCUGGGGAGUACGACCGCAAGGUUGAAACUCAAAGGAAUUGACGGGGGCCCGCACAAGCGGUGGAGCAUGUGGUUUAA
rnacentral:rRNA from 1 species